GUAGAUGGUCCCUAGGAGCAUACAGUUUUGAGAACUUGACUGAGAUGACUCAGAAAACACAGCAAGGCGGUGAAAAUAGCUCUUGCUUGAUAAGGCAUUUGUUUACUGUGCUUACCUCAAGUCAUACCUGCCCUCUUAGAAAGGUGUCACUGUUUAGAGUUAGUCUAAUCUAGAGAGUGACCAUGUGAGCACUUAGAGGUGGGAAUGUUUAUUUGGAAAUAAUAGGCAGAUUCUGGAAUGUUGUAGUAAUGCUUGUGCCUUUGAGUUGCAGUGUGGCCAAAUGUACAGGACAAAACACAAUUCGAAAAUGAACUCCAGCAUUAUUCUGGGAAAGACAAGGGGAAUCUAUGGAAGCUGGUCAUUCUUCCUAGCUCAGACCUGGAGUAGGAUGAUUGGGCUUCCCAAGGGUGGCAGCACCAGCAAGGCUGGCAGCAACUAUCUCCUGUGGAAAGUCAAGUCCGUGCUUGCUGGGUGCUCCAAGGGAGUUAACUGGAGUCAACAGUGGCCUCCCUGAACUCUGUGGAAAAGACAAGUUGCAUACGCUUCUUCUAUUACAGUGUUCAGUGUUUGGAAAUGAGCAGUCUUGCAUUGUUAUGCAAACGCCAAGGUACAGCUGAAGGACUGUGGCCAGUAGAUUCACAGUUGUGUGAUCCUUGGACUUUUAGAUCUACCAGGCAGGCAGUGGUAAAGUGCAUUUUAUCACAGUGUGUCCAGGAGACAUUUGAUGGAGCAGAACCCAGCUCUCUGCAUCUGAGCCGGAUCUCCUUGCCAGAGCUCUGCAAGAAUGAUUUUUUGUUUCCGCCCCCACGUUGGCAAGAGAGUCUCAGGCAUCUGAAUGCAGCAGGAUAGGACACAUCUUGUAAAGGUUUUCCAUUUUAAUAUCCCUUAAUGACCAAUAAUGAAUUCUUUAUAGUUAAUCUGCUGUUCUCAGGAAAACAAUCUAGAUGGUUAAAAAAAUCAAUCAUUAAUGAGCAGUAAAUGACAGCUCCCCAACAACACAGCUGUAUUUUUGUAAAAGUGAUUAAACAUUGUCUGCAUUCAUAAUUGCAUGGUUAAUAAGAAUGUUGAGCACCAAGUCAAGCAUUGUUGCUAAUGAUGACAGAUUAUGAUGCUACAAAUGCUUUGGAGUUAUGGGGCUAAAUUUUCAAAGGCAGUUCCUGGAACAGCAUGCACACAGACCCACUAAGUAUUCAAUUUGCAUGGACCAUUACCAGGUUUGUGCAUGGCAUUUGGGAGCUUUGCAGUUGAGAGUCUUUUGAAAAUCUGGCCCAUUAUGACAGAAAGCAUCUGUAAUUAACAGCAACUGAUCUCCCUCUGCCCAGCAUUGGUGAAAGGUGUAAAAUGCUCUGUGUGUGGUUUGAUGGAGCCCAAAGCCCCUUUGAUAGGCUGAAAGGAAGGCAAAAAGAGUCUUUAGGGAUGUAAUUCACCCUUGGAUGUAGUCGUGAAUAUCAGAGUUUUGCAAGCAGGUGAGAAAGUGGGCAAGUUAUUCAAAAGGGGACUUGAUAAUACUGUCAUUGAUUAUUUGCCUCUCCCAUUUUGGCCUUAAAUAUACUUACUAAAUCUCGGGAAUUCCUGGAUUAUCAUUCGUAGGUCUAACUAUUUAAAAUUUGAGAUUGUCCCAUGGUGCUGAGGGAUGAAUUGCAAUCUUUAUGAAGCUGUGGGCAGCGUGAGUCACUCAGUGAUUGAGCAAGCCACAUCUGCUGCUCAGUCUGUCUGUACUCUGAUCAGGUAUGAAGCAGUUCCAUGUAUGAAGCCAUACAUAGUCACAAUUUGUUAGGAAAAUUGCAUGCUAAAAGGGAAUUUAUGAAUUUGGGGAUUCUUGAAAACAUCUUGUAUCUCUCUGGGAUGUUGAAGGUCUGAUGGGCAGUUGGGUAACAUUGUGUCUUGUACUGUUAUUUACAUAUUCCAGUUUGUAUGGAUAUCUUAUCUCGACAGUACUUCGGCCUAGAGAACAGGAACAAUAUAUAUUAUUACUUUGACUCUUGUUUGUUACAGCACCUCACUCAGUGCUGCUUUUUCUGGAUCAGCCAGCCAUUGACUGAGCAGAGAGUUACAGAAUCUCACAGUCUGCAAGACCAACUGGCAUGGGAUUAAGAGUAUGGUUUUAAGAUGCCUGCGUUUGAAAUGCUACUGCCAUUCACUAGUGACUUUCUACACCUCUUAGGGCCUCACUUUUCUUCACUGGUAAAGUAGGAGUGAUAUUAGUGGGAACUUGUUAGGGUUAUUAUGAGGAUUCAGUGAGAUAAGUAUUUGAAACUUUCAGCAGAGUGACUAGGACUUAGUGUAUGCUCCUUAAAAGUUAAUUGUUCAUGUCUUUAUCAUUGUUGAGGCCUCAGGGCUAGGUCUUGAGUGAGUAAGUACCAGAGCUGAGUCUGGGAUCUCUUUAGCUGGGCUAGGUCAUUCCUUAUAGAUCUAAGAGGCAAUGAGGUGCCAACUGUUCUUGCCCCAGCCAUUUGGUCUCCUCAUGGAAGUCCCAGACAUCAUGGAGUAGACAAGAGCUGCCCCACUGUGUCCUUUCCAAAUUCCUGACCCACAGAAGCCAUGAGCAUAAUAAAAUGGUUGUCAUUUUAUGCCACUGAAUUUAGAGUAGUUUGUUAUGCAGCAAAGAUAAUUGGAACAAAGAAUCACAAUUUGACCACCAUAGUUUGGAGAUUAUUUAGGCCUAAAGAGGUUAGAUAAUCAUUUUAUUCAAACAAGGACUUAAUGGUAGAAUCAUUCUUAAGCACUGGGUUUCAGGCUUGAAGCUGCAUGCACUAUUCAUUACAUCAUGUACCUUCUUAUCUCUUGAUGUCAGCUCUACAUGUUUGUAUAGUUAAAACUUGACUUCAGGCCUCUGUUCUCAAGUCAUACACAUUCUAAGAAGUACUCUGUUCAUAUAGUAAGCCAUGAGGAAAUGAAUUACUUAUAAGCCUAGCAGAUAGGAGUCUAUUCCAGACUUUAGCUAGUGAGAGAUAUUGGGAGCUCUUAGAGAAGAGACAGAGACAAAGAAAUGGAAAUGGAGAGGAGGUGAGACCGUCUGCUGAGGUUGGAGCUUUGCAGAGGAGGAAGUGGAAGCAGCACAGCAGGAGAAAAUGAUGAGGCACUGGUGGAAAAGAAGGGUGGAAAUUGCUUCAGCUCUAUUGAGGCAAACAACUGUGUGCUGACAAGAAGAAGGUUGACGAGCGGCUUUAGCCAGUCUCUUACUGUCUGCAGCUAAAGGGGAAGAGAGAGGGUGGCUGCAUAUGGAGCAAGGCGCACAGGGAGUCAGCAUGAGAGGAGGGAGAAAGCUGCAGAGGGAGGGGAGCAACUCAGGAAGUCUAUGGAAGCAGCAGGGUGAGCUCUACUGAGCAGAGAGAUGGGGAGCCCAGCAAAGAAGCAGGGGAGCACUUGGCCCUAACUGCCCAAAAAAAAUAGGGUAAAUUGGAGACAGUGGGAGAUGAUGAGGAGAAUAAAAUAAAAGAACAAACAAAAAGUUCAAAGAGAACAUUUGGGAUGAAAGUUAAAGCAGUAUAGAGUAUCUGGAAGAGAUGGAAAAAAAUGGGGAUUAAAACAUAUUUUGGGUGAAAAUAGUGAGUUGAUUCAAUUUUUGAUAAAAGAAAAUAGUUUGGAUGAGAGUUUGAGUGGCAUGAUAUAUUUUGAAUGACCCACUUACAAAGGCCAUAGUGUUUUUCUACAAUAUUCCUGAAAGUGAAGUUUAAUAUGUCAUUUUAUUAUAGGAGAAAUUACACGUAUAUAAAUUUUAAAAAUGGAUCGGCUUGGAAUUGUAUUUUCUUGGAUUACUAGUGGAAAGAAAUAGCAUUAAAGAAUAAAAGCCUAUAAUUGUAAUAGAGCAACAAAAAUUCAAUAAGAGAGUGCUCAUUGUCUAACCAAUGCCUGUAUUUGAGACCAAAGAACACCAGAAACACAAGGGGUAAUUUAUCUAGCUCAUAUGGAAGAUCUUUCCCAUAUCUGGCCUUUAUAUUUUGACUUGUUAGUGUAUUAAAUCUGAAAUAUGAAUGCAGAAGAUGAUGAUGCUUCCUGUGUGCCAGGCACUGUCCUAAGCGUUUUACACAUAUUGACUAAUUUAACCCCUCAACAAUCACUUGGGGUUAGUUAGAUGUCUUUGAUUAUGUCCUUUUUGUGGAUAAAGAUACUGAGGCACAGUUCUCUUUUUUUUUUCUUCCUCAUAGCCACCUCUAUUUCUAAGUCAUUGGGAAAGAUUAGAAAGAAAACAUUAAGUGUGAUAAGUAGUAAAAAGCAGUUGUCUGUAAGGUCCUGGUCAUCCUCGGAACCUUGUCAGCCCCACUCACUGAGGCUCUGCUCAGGAGUAAAUCGCAUGUCUUCAUGUCCCACCCUCCUAAUGUAUUUGUUUAUUAAAGGAAUGAUUGGUAUCAUUAAUGGAAUGUUUUUUAUCUCUGCUUGUGGGAGAGCAGAAUGUUAUAAGGCCACCUAAGGAUGGGGUUUUAUUCUUAGUGGCUGUCUGAUAUAAAGGAAAGAAUAGGAACUCUGGAGUUAGACAGGCCUCUGACUUUGUAUCUUGGCUCUACUUCUUAUCAUUCGUUUGAUUUUGGAUAAUUUAUUUAUCAUUGUUUUAUUCACUUGUAAAAUCGGGAUAAUACCAUCCACUUUGCAGGGUCAUUGUGAAGAUUAAAUGAAAUGAGAGCUGUUCAGUGCCUGGGAAAGUGCUUGAGAAUUAGUAGAGGUUCAAAAUGUGUUACUUCUGGUUUUUUAUAGACCUGAUAAUUGGUGAUUGCAGAUAUUUGAUAUUAAUUAAAUCAAAUGCUGAUAAAGCCUGUGUAGGUGAGGCUGAAAACUUCAUAUUUUCAUAAGCGCUCGGAUUAUAUGUCUUCAUUAUGAAAUCAUCACUGGAUGAAAAGGUAGAAAAUAAUUAUGAGAUUUAGGGAAUGAUAAAAAAAAAAACCCUAAAAGAGAAAGCUAUAAAUUUCAAGAGAAAACUUUUAAUUUCAAAACCCUUCUGUGGUAGACAUAAUAUUGACUCCCAAAAUGUGUUUACAUCAUAAUCCCAAAUAUCUGUGGAUAUGUUAUCUUAUGUGGCAAAAGGAACUCUGCAGAUGGGAUUAGGUUAAAGUCGUUGAGAUGGGGAGAUUGAUUACCCUAGAUUAUCUGAGUGGGCCCAGUCUAAUCACAUGGGUCCUUAAAAAUCAGAGAAUCUUUCAGACUGUGGUCAGAGAAAGAGACCACAUGGAGGUGGAGGAUGGUCAGAGAAAUGGAACAUUACUGGCUUUGAAGAUGGAGGAGGAAGCAAUGAGCCAAGGAAUGAGGGCAGCCUCUAGAAGGCAGAAAAGGCAAGGAAAGUUAUUCUUCCCUAGAAUCUCAAGAAAGGAACACAACCCUUCCGACACCUGGAUUUUAGUCCAGUGAGAGCCAUGUUGGACUUCUGAUCUUCAGAAUUGUAAGGUAAUAAAUUUGUGUAUAUAUUAGUGCUACAGCUGUCUUUGUUGUCAAGAUGCCUGUUGGGAAUAGUCUUAACUUUGGAAAUUUCUUAGCCCUUGUGCCUCCCUCCUAAUAGAGUCCUUUUGUAGAUAUGCUAUGGCAAGCCCCCUUUGGAGUGUCUUUUAUUUUUCUGUAGCCUGCCCCCUUUUGACUCGCAGAUAAACCACCACAGUCAUGUUUGCACUACAGGAUUGUCCACUUGGUAACAGUUGAUUUGAACAGAAGACAUUACUUGGCUCAAUCUGGACCAAUCUGAAUGUCUUUCCCAGGAGUUUGGGUUGGGUUGAGGGAGGUGUUAGUCUCAGCCUCUGCAUGUGGCUUGAACUGAGGUGGUGUAAACUUGUGGGGUGGCCAUGGAUAUGGAGAAGGUAAAAAUUGGGUCUGUAGGGAGAGGAGCCUGAGGCUCAUGGACAUAGCAGAGCAGAGAUGAGGGUCUGAGAGAAAGACCAAGAAGGUGGUAGCCUUGUUCCUGCUGGCUCUCAGUCAACAUUUGUACCUCUGCUGGGGCCCAGGCAUGUCCUGCUCUGGAUCCACAAGAUAACAUUGUACCAUUAUAAAAAAUGUCCUUUUUUUCCUUAACCUUGCUAAGAGGUUUUCUGUUGCUUGCAAACAGAAGGGGCUUCACUAAAACACCCACUGUGAGGGAGAUGAAUCAAGAAGAUGGGAAGGAGAUUCCAUUAAUGUCAUUUUGAGUCCUCAUUCAUGCUUUAUUCCAAGGAAGUUUAUAGAAAGAUUCAGAGCAACAUGAUUAUUCUGUCAGCCAGGGAGCAUUUUGUGCUUCUACAGCUAUAGCUGGAGCUCGUGGCAGGGCCCACCUUAUGGGGGUUGAGGCUCAUGGCUACAGACUGCUUCUAUAGGCUCUGGCCAAAGGCAUCUGAUUCUCACAUUCAAAAUUAAUGUUGGCCGAGGGGUAUUUUUAAAUCAGGAUUUUAAAAUUUCAGCUGACCUUGCUGCAGCAAGCUUCAUCAUGCAAACAUGGCACUUUAAAGACCCCACCUUAGUGUUUUUCUGUAGUUAUUUAAUUUUAAGAAUAUGCCUGGUAGAGAUUAUGGUUUCUUGGAGGAGAACUUGCAGUCAGAAAUGAUGAUUUCCUAAUUAUCAACUCAUAGAAUUUAAAAAGCAACUGUAAAAAUCAUGUUAUUCAACUCUUUAGUUAUACCGACAAGGAAAUAUGCUCAGAAGGGUUAAAUGGCUUACUUUUGGUCUUGAUUGGGUCUUAUGUAUAUCUAUAUGCAGAAUUACCAAAUUCAUGAUUAUUUAGAGAAUGAAUUAAGUAUCAGAGAACACAGAAGUUUUUGGACUAAAAUAUUUCUAUGAAUACUAACUGAUUUUUAUAAUGCAUAGAAGAUAUUACCUUUCUUUUUAUGAAUUGGAAUUAUUUCUAUAAACCCGAGUAUGCCCAAAGAAAUACAAUUUCUUUGAUGGACUGGAUGUUAUUAACAAGAGGUCAAAGAACCAUAAAGGUAAGUAUCCAUGCAUUCAUUCAUCUCCCUCCCCCUCUCCCUCCCAUCCUCUCUUCUUCCCUUCUUUUCCUUCCUUCUUUUCAAUUAUUUAUUGAGUACUUACCAUAUAUCUAACAAUUUCUAAAACCUGGAGAUACAAUAGAAUCAUAUGCCUUCAUGUGGUCUUCCUCUAAUGGAGACUGCCUUUGUGGUGCUUACAUUUAAGUUGGGAAGAACGGAAAGUCAACAUGUAAAAAAAUUUAUGAGAUAGUUUUGGACAAUGAUAAAGUGCUAUGAAGAAAAUAAAAAGUGGUGACAUCAUAGAGAAUAAUAGGCUCUGGAGUAAUAUAGGGUAUAAUUUCUCAGGAUGAGGAGGUAACUUUUAGCUGAUCUAUUUAUUCUAUUCAUCUAUUGUCUAUCUAUCUACCCUAUCUAUCUUCUUUGAUUACAUAAGACAACAUGAUGACUCCUAUUUAUUCUCAGAAAACAGAGAUUAAAUCUCUUUCUCUGGUCACAGAGUUCAUGAUUGUAAAUCCAGUUUUCUUUCCAUUGCGUCAGCUGCCACCUCAAAAGGGAAUUGGAUUGGGAGACUGUUCUCAAAGAAUUCGUAUUCAAGUUGGACAGAGAAAACACAAAGUAUUUUAUGGGAUAGUAUCUCAAAGUACAAGUUGGUUUCUUCUUUUUCUCCACAAUACUCACAAAAUCCCUUUACUUGUAUCCCAAGGACUUCUUCCUUGGCCUCACUCGGUCCCCCAGAGCCCCCACACAUGGACAUGAGACAAAUCAGAAACAAACCCUGCAAAGCUCAACCACUCUUUGGGAAGUGGCUGGUCAGUGUAAGGGAAAGAUUCAUCAGAUGCUCACUUUUAGUGCUCAUUUUCCCCCAUCUGAGAGUCUAUACUGUCAAACCUCAACUGUUACUGAAGCAAACACCGUGUGUCAUCAGUUUCAGCCAGCUGUGAGGAAACUGAGUCACCACUGACUUAUUGCUUUCGUUGCUGGAUGUUGAAUAUCACUAAUCCCAAGGAGUCUUUUCUUGUCCGGUGGGCAGUCAUGCUUGUCUAUAUGAGACGAUUUGUCUGGAUCUGACCUAUUCUGUCUGCUAGCCCAGGAGGAUGCAAACUCUGCUGACAAGGAAGGGAAGGGAAGACUCAGGACCUUGAGAGAUGAUGGUACAUGAAGGGGAAGCUUCAGUUCUGAACAAGAUAAGGCUAGAUAUCCUCAGAAAUCACUAGUUGUAUUGUUUAUUGUCAUAUUGGUUACCUAUUGCAACAAUAAUGCCUCAUAACAAACCACCUCACAUAUCAGUGGCUUAACACAAUAAGCAUUUAUUUAGUCUGUGGGUUGGUGACAUAGGCUGGACUUGGCUGAGUUGCUCUGGUCUCAGCUAGGCUCAUUCCUAUGUCUGGCAUUGGGCUUUUGGGUCAUCUAAGAUUGUUCCUGCUGGGAUGACUGGGCCCACUCAGCUCUUCACAUGUCUCUCAUUUAGUAGGCCAGCCAUGCAUGUUCUCAUGGCAGUUGUAGAAGACCAAGAGCAAUCAAGGUCAACUGUGCAGCCAUCUUAUUGGCCAAUCAGGUCUCAUGACUAAGCCCAGAGUCAGCAUGGAAGAGAACUGCAGAUUUACUUUACAAAGAACAUGGAUUCAAGGAGAGGCGAAGACUGAAUUGAGGCUAUUAAUACAAUGAGUAACACCAUGGGUUAUACAGGGUUGGAAUGUUAAGGGUUAAUUAUCUACCAAACAGUCUGGGCAUAGUUUGAAGGGUAGAUUGGAGUAGGGAGAAACUAGAGGCAGGGAGCAUGGACAGGAACUUUUCUGGGAGAACAAUAGCAAUGCCAGAAUCUAGGGUGACUGGGAAAAUGGGAGUGGAGCGGUGGAAGAUAUUGCCUAACUUGGUUAUGCGAUGAAUGGAGAAGGGCAGGGGCAGUGCAAAGGAGAUGGAGGAGGCAAGUUGACUCAGAAGUCAGUGAUCUGGAGGGUGAUAAUAACCCAACAGGCAGGUAACCCUCUCAUGAGAAGUAGGCGAAGGCCUGAAGAUAACUUGUGAAAGAAGAGAGAAGCUUGGUGACAUGAGUAGGUCAGGUAUGUGGGAGACAGAGCAGCAGGAAAGCAAUGUGAUGGGAGGGUUGUCUGAUGACAGCUGUAAGGCAGGUGGGAGGAUAAUGACUGUGAGUGCUGGAGGUGUGGUAAGGCCAGGAGCUUGAAGCUCAUGGACCAUAAUUUGGAUUCACCAUGUUGGAGAAUUGAGAGUUUUCCAGGACUCUGAGGAGAGUUUGUAUGUCUUCCUCAGUUUCCCUCCAGUGCCCUUAAGGCUGGAGCCUUAUCUAAGCAUCAUGCUCGAGGAGACCCCUGCAUAGGUGGAGGCAUUAUGAUGUGCCCAGACCAUGACACUUUGUUUCCCUACGGUUUCCAGGCCCUGCUGCAAGUCUAAUCAAUUAUGUCAGUGCCACUGCCGCCUUUCCCAGCUCACAUUCAGGUGCUCUCUGAGUGUCUCUCUUUCUUUUUAUCCUAUCUAGUUCAAUAAACAAUUGUAAAAUCUGGCAAUCAGGAUGAAGCCAAGCAUUCUAAAUCUUAAUUUAUUUUUCUGUUUUUCCAAUAAAAAGGUCGUCUCAAGACACCCAAAGUGGAAAGUAUUUUGAAUUACUUUCUUUGACUGACUGUCUUGAAUUCCUCAGGAUCACUGUUGAUAACAUUCAGAAUGAUUUCUGGGACACAGCACUAGGCUUAAAAUAGUUUGAAAGCUUCUGCGGCAACCACCUGAUAUGAGAAGUGAUUUGUUACCCCUGUUAAGGAAGAAUCAGAUGUCAUGUUAUACAAGGUUAAUGAGCAACAACUGUUUCAUAGCUUGAGCACGGCCCAUACUGCAGAACCUCGUUUCUCCCUGCUCCGGAGAGAGCUGCAGUCUUGUAGGUAAAAUAGAAGUUACUAAAUACAGACAUUAUUUUUUGUAUGUCUUAGGUCCGCCCAAUCCAUCUUUGUCUCCUUUGUCCUUGUGAGGCACCUCCUGCCAUUUGAAGUAAACUGAGUCUCUGUAAAGGGCCAACUUGUUUCCACAUUGUCAAGGAGACCAGAAAAUAGAACCUGGGUAGCAAAACAAAGCUUUUGUGGGAGUGGGUGUUGCUUGAAUGUGGAAAAUCUGAAAACACGUAGAUUUCCUGCUCCUUCCCGGAGCUGACUUCUGCUGGGGUUUGCUACUGGAAGACUGAUGCAUUUCUCUUCUCUUCAGUCUAACAUUAACCAGCCAUUGUGUAAUCACCAAUCAUGAAAUAACUGGUUCUAUGCGAAUAGUUCACAAAGUAUGGUCUGUGGGCCUGAGGCAUCAGAAUCACUUGUAUAAAAAUCUCUGGGUCUGGGUCUUGGGAAUCUACCUUUUUUUUUUGGCAUGCAUUCCAGGUAAUCUCAUACUCCUUGAUGGAUAAGAAUUCGCUAUCCUAAGGGGCAAGUGUACAUUUAUUUGUUAUUAAUUAUAUGCUUCAAAAGAACAGAUAGCAGCAGCAAAUGAUUAAAAAUGUGAUCCUUGCUCGUGGCUCUGUAAAACAGUCUAAGCUGACUUCAGACUUGAAGGCAUUAUCUCACAGUCAUUUUUCAUUUCAUCUUUGGUUGUUUUAGCAGAGUGUGGUGGAGAUGACUAGUUAUUCACCCACAAUUCAUUCUCUCCCUUGCAUGUAACACACAGGUGUUGCUGGGAAGUGGCUGCCCAGUCAUGGACUAUGUGGCUAACUUGAAUCUAGGAAUGGCCUAGUGACUAGUACUCCCAACGGAAUGGAGCUGAAAUCAUGUGGCCAUUUCUUCCCCUUCUGCCUGAGUGAAGAGUAUUCUGAGGCCCAAAUAGGGGAUAAUUGGGUUGCUGAAUCACCAUGUGCCAUGAGUACCUGCUCUAGACUUUUACCUGAGUGAGAAGUAAGCUUUCAGAGUGUUGAGCCCCUGAGAUUUUGAGAUGUUAACAGCUUUUGUUACUCCAGGUAAUUCGUGGAGUUUGGCCUAUUAUUUAGGUAGUUCUAGAUGAGAACUAUGUUCUUUCCCAGCUCAGAUUUCAAAUACAUACGGUUUGUUCAAACAACAUAGUCCUCUGCUGAAAAGUAGGGAAUCAUCUCUUUGGGGAAAGAGCACCAGUCUUAGAAUUAGGAAAGUGGGUCCAAGUCCAAGUUCUGCCACUUACUGGCUGUGUAGUUUUAGACAAAUCACUCAAUUAUUCUGCGCCUCAGCUUCUUCCAUUAUUUAGAGAGAAUAAUAAUACUGUAUUAUUUGCCUCUCAAGGUGUGUGUGAAGGUCAUGCAUUCACUCUUGAAAACACUUUGUAAAUUAUGAAGUGCAUUAUACAAAUGAGAGGGAUGACUUGGUUCUUUUUUUUACAGAGCUAGAAUUAAAUACUAUUUUCUGGCUUCAGUAUUUUCAAUAGCUUCCCGAGUUUCAGCUUUGUCCUUUAGAAAAUAGGGAUAAUAAAGCCUACUUGGGUUAUUGUGAGGAUAAAAUGAGAUACUGUACUUGAUGGUGUCUAGCACGACACCCAACAUAUUACAGGAACUCGGAAAAAUGUUAGCCCCUUUCCCUGCAGCACUGUGUGCUUGGGGGAGGUGAUUCAGGGAGAGUCCAUGUAGACUGAUGAUAAAUACGAACCGAGUUCUCCUUUUGCUUAUGUUUUACUUACCUCUGUAGACUGGAGAGAUCACUUUCUCUGUAUCAUAUGUCCCAUUCUCCCCUGAACUUGAUGGUGGCCCCAUGGCAGCAGGAAACGUGGCCACAGAGGAGCCGUGGGCCUGUUUGUAGUGUUGCCUGCUUCCAUUUCUUCUCCCAAAAAGUUGGGAACUCUAGUCAUGGUGAGUCUGAUGGGGUACCUUCUGAAGUCUCUGGCCAGCCAGAGCCCUGAAAUUCAGACCUCGUGUUCCUGAAUGCUUUCUCACCUGCAGCUCUUCCCCUUGAAACUCGUCUUUUCCCUGUUCCGUCUUCACUUGGCUUAUUCUUUACCGUGGAAUCUUCUUAACUUGGACUAUCCUCAAUCUAAUUCACUUGACUAGAAGUUCAAGACACAGAAAUGUGAUUCUAAAAUAAGUUUUUACAAUGGUAAUGAUAAUUCCUGCAGUUUAUUUCUAUACUGUGCUACCAUUUUCAAACUACUUUCACCUGAGUAAUUUUGUUUGUUCACUAUUGGUUUUCAUGGACUCACAGAAGCCAUUCUUUCCUUUGCUUGUCUUAGGUGCAUUUAUUGGGCGUCAUACCAUGGCAGGCUGCUGGGAGGAUGGGGUAUAGUAGGGUGUAGGGGACAGAGUACUAAUAUUUAUCCAUUAUGUAUUUUUUUGUCAAGUUAGUUUCAAUGAGAGUUAGCUAAUUUAAUUCUCUCAAUAAUUUUUCUGAAGUGUCUCCAGCGCCUCGCCCAAUACUUACGGGUGACCUACUGUAAAAUUCUGUAGAGAGGUUAAACGCUUGUCCAAAGUCAAAAAGCCACUUGGUGCUGGAGAUGGGAUUUAAAUUCUGGUCUCUGACUCCAAAGCCCAUGCUCUUGCCUGGUGUUACUGUCUCUAGCAGGUGGCUCAAGGGAGACAAGUAGCUGCUGCUUAAAUAGUUCCAUGUCCGGUUAUUUGGGGAGCAAAGACAAACAUUUGAGUAGUAAGACAAGGGAGCCCUCCUCUCAUCUUCUCUCCCUUCUUCUUGCAACAUUUAUUAUCUAUAAGGUGGCACCCAGUAUUCCAGGCUCUGGGGUACAGACUUCCCCCAUCCUGCAGCCACCUGUCUAAUGGACAAGACAGAUAAAUUGAUAAACAGCCAGGCAAAUAAGCUAAUGUGUGGCAAUGAUAACUGCCAAGAACAAUAAAGCAGGGCAAGGGAGUAACAGUGACGGAGCUUCUGUGUUAGGUGUGGUGCUUAGGAAGGCGACAUUUGAGUAGGUGACACCUGAGUAGGUGACAUUUGAGCAGAGACUUGAAUGAAGAGAAAGCCUGCAAGGGAGUGGGGUGGGAAGGGGAACAACACAUGCGAAGACUGACUGAAACCAGCUAAGUGUUUUGUAAGAAGGUCAGAGUGUACCUGGGUUGGUGUAAGCCCAGGAGGGUGGUGCGGGUAAAACUGGCAAGUUCAGGAGAGGCCUGUGGGCCUUGGUGAAGAUGUUGGAUUUUGUUCUGAGUGAGGUUGGAAGCCAUUCAAGAAUUUUGAGCAGAGAAGUGAUAGGUUCUGACUUAACAUUUAAAAAUAAUCACUAUGGCUAUUGUGUGUAGUUUAGAUUUUAGGGGGCAAGGAGCCCGGUUUAGAGUCUAUUGCAGGCAACCAUGUAUGAGAAAACCCAAGGUGAAUGGUAUCAAAAACAAAUAUUUCAACACUUCAUUCUUUCACUUUCUUUUAUCUUUGGAUUUUUUAUUUCAGUUCUUUGUAAUUCUCUUUAAAUUUAUUAAAUUUCUACUAUGUUCAAGAUACUGUGAAAAUUGCCAUUUGUGUCUUUAUCCCUUUCUUUGAAACUUUUCUUACAAUCUAGAUUUUUUUUACCUAAACCAAAUUACACAUUGUUCCACUUAUCUUAACAGAGGUAGAAAGAAAUCGAUUGCUUUGGUUUUCCGAUAGCACAAACCUGGCUGCAGAUCUGAAACAGAAUGAACUGGCAUUAGAGUGAUAGCAGGCCAGCCUGCCAACAGCACCCUUUCUCAUGACAGCAAGCUAAUGCUGGAAAUGGUCAGGACAAAGGUCUAAGUUCGUAAUCAACUGCAAACGUGGACUCUUCCCUUCGGAUAGCACUUGUUCUCCUCCAGCUGAAGCUAUACUGGCCUCCCUUCAGCCAUGAAAACAUUCAGAUGUAAAAAAAAAAAAAAAGAUGCGUCUUGAACACUUAACCAUAAAAAGAAAAGGACAAGAAUGGAUGUUUUCUUAGCAACUACAGUGCUGGAUCAUCACAUAUCUCAUCUGAUCUUAACACAAGUACUCUGUGAGGAAAGCUUAAUGACUCAACAAAUAAAUUAUCUCUUCAAUAACUCAAAAUGGGGAGGCUUCAAGGAAUUUCACAUAACUGACCCCUGGAUACAUAAAUAUAUUAAGUUCCAAGGCACAUAUAAAAUGCCUACAGAUCUCAACAAGAAAAUGGGAUGUUUCUCUGCUAUCAGCUAAAGCUGCUGUGACCAUAAAACGAAAAAAUCACCUAUUGUCUCCUUGCUCAUAAAGAAUGCCCACUAAAAUUGGUCCAGUAUCUUAUCUCUCCAUCCAGACAGUGCUUGUUGCUAAAUACACAGCCUGUUUUUACAGUCUUCACUGAACUCUGGUUUCUGCCAUUUUCAGUGGGGGGAAAAUUUGUAUGAAAAGUUCAUAAGUAAUGUGCAAAUGGGCUAUAUUUUUGCAACUUGCUUUCAUUGUCAUCUGGGAUCCAUCGAGAUUCUUCUGGGGAGACUGAACACCGUUCUGUGCUGCUAGUCUGGAGGAGUGAGGAGAGAAAGCAUGACCCUACCACUUGGAUGAGAGUUUCUGACAUUGCAAGGGCAAAGAUUCUGAACAUCAAAGAUAUCCUUGAUCAUAGAUCUUUGAAAGCAACUCUAAAACUUUCAGAGUGGACAAAAAGAGGCCUUUCCCAUCUCCACUGAGUCCUGAGAAAUAAGAUGUAUAUUUGAGAUGCAGCAAGAAAGACUUUAGAUUCUUAACUUUUGGGAAGGUCACAUACCCCUUUGAUAAUUAGAUAAAAAUUAUGAACAUUUUUCACAGAAAAAAUAUCCAUAAAGACACAUACAUAGAAUUUUGAAAACUUGAGGGUUGAUUUAUAAAAACUUGAAAGUGUUUGUUCCCUGAAUACUUCUCUGGAUUGUUUAGGGGUCCUGGACCCCAGGUUAAGAAUCCCUGGAACUCUGAGGACAAUUAUGGAAAUCUACCUUGACAUCUCUGUCAAGCUGUGUUCCCCAGCUACACUUACCUAUCUUAUAUGCAGGGAGAUGUUAAGAGUAAUAACCUGUGUUAUGUGCCUUUUGUGUCAAUCUGCCAAUUCAGGAGCUCCAUCUUCUGCAAAAUCCUUUUCCCUCCCCCCACGUAAUUAUGUCUGAAAGUCCCCGAGACAUUUCUGUUGUGUUCAUGAACAAGCCCAGACAGUGGUCACAUGACGUCCUCUGGGUCCUGAUGCCUUUGCUGGACACUGAUACCCUCUCUGUUGGAUGUCUCUUGCUCCUCUGAGCACUGCCACCUCUGUUAGGCACCAGUGCUCAGCCUGCACAUCAUUGCCACUUUUGCUGGGGUCCAUGGUUUUCUCCUUCUGUUGAAGCAUUGGAGCCCUAGAGGGGCCAGGCAUGCUCUCUAUUCUCCAGAAUUUCACUGAUUUCAGGUACUCUGCUGUCAGGGAGAAUGCUUUUCUCUCUUUUGUGUUACUGUUAUUACCAUUAGAUGGUUUCUAGUGAGUUCUGAUUUGAUGGUCUUUAGCAAGAUAAUCUUUAACCUUUCUUUUCAAUUCCUCCCUCCUUGGGGUGAAGGGCAAACCCAAGUGACCCCAGAUUGUACUCAGAAUCCUCAGUCCUCUCCCAUGAUUGAAGUUUGUCUCUGGUCCAGUGUCGUUUUUCUGACUCACUCUCCCUUUGGGAGCUCCUCAUGCAAAUGCCAUUCCAGGGGCCUGCCUCCUCCCCUCCAUUGAGGAUGCUCAGAACUGGGGCUCAGCAAGAAAUGGACCCAGCAUAGAUUUAAACGAGGAAAUUCAAGAACAUCAAUAUUUAAGAAUAACGUAGACAAUAGUGUGACCUUUGGGGCUUAGACAUAAUAUUUUAGGGGCUAUUUUGAAGAGGUCUUCCGGAUCUCAGUGGUGUCCCUCCAAAGAUGAGCUCUUUAUAAUUCUACUCUGUCCUAUAUCCAAGCCAGUGCAGUACUGUGAAAAACGGCAUUAACAAAAUUCUAGGCUCUUACUGGAAACAAGCUCCUUCUUUCUUGUAAAUAAGUCUAUACAACACCUGUAAUAAGUUAGAGUCAGAAUGAUCUUUCUGUCAUGAUUCCAUUUUUUUAUACAACUCAUGUACCUCAAACUCCGCAGGAGUCAAUAAAAUAUGAUUCUGAAAUAAUACUGAAUUUUAAAGCUUAGUAUGCAGUGUGUGGAAAAAAUGCCUCACCAUUUUUCUUGCUGUCAUUUGAAGGUAUAGGUGUAGAUUCAUCACAAUAUUGGAAACACAUUUUGAAAAUGCCAAUAUCUCCAUCAGUUAUAGAUUUGUCAUAAUUAAUGCUGACAGCUCCUGCUGUACUAUUGUAUUCUUCACUCACACCAUUACUCCUCUCUCUGACACGCCGGACUGUGUUCACCUGCCUCAGUGUGGCUCUCUCUCCAGUGUUCUAUAUGCUUUCCCCUUCAACUUCCUACUGAGUGCCCUGGCCAUCCUCAGGCCAAACAGGGAAUUUCCAAACCAGUCUUCAUCC
rnacentral:lncRNA from 1 species